rnacentral:rRNA from 1 species
UGCCAGCAGCCGCGGUAACACCUGCGCCCCAAGUGGCAAUCGCGAUUAUUGGGCCUAAAGCGUUCGUAGCCGGAAUAGUCAGUCUUGGGUGAAAUUGCUGCGCUUAACAAAGCAACGUGCUUGAGAUACUGCUGUUCUAGAGACCGGGAGGCGUGAAGGGUAUUUUUGAGGGAGCGGUAAAAUGCGACAAUCUCAAGAGGACCACCUGUGGCGAAGGCGCUUCACGAGAACGGGUCUGACGGUGAGGGACGAAAGCUAGGGGAGCAAACGGGAUUAGAUA